UCCUGGUUAACCCAGGCAGUCUCGUUAGAGUUCCCAUCCGAAAUGUUGGCAACUAACGAUAAGGGUUGCGCUCGUUGCGGGACUUAACCCAACACCUCACGGCACGAGCUGACGACAGCCAUGCAGCACCUGUGCAGCAGUCCCGAAGGAAGACCUCAUUUCUGAAGCUGUCUACUGCAUGUCAAGUCUGGGUAAGGUUCUUCGCGUUGCAUCGAAUUAAACCACAUGCUCCACUGCUUGUGCGGGUCCCCGUCAAUUCUUUUGAGUUUCAGCCUUGCGACUGUACUCCCCAGGCGGUAUACUUAACGCGUUAGCUCCGGCACAACCGGGGUUGAGUCCAGUUACACCAAGUAUACAUCGUUUACAGCAAGGACUAC
rnacentral:misc_RNA from 1 species